UCAAAUUCUUGGGGGUCAUCUGGUUGGGUAAGACUAAAGUUAUACCAGAAGCAGUCAGAUAAAGUCCAGGCUUUUCCUACCCCUACAACUGUGGUACUGUUGCAUGUUUGGGGGUCUUUUUGGCUACUGGAGAGAGUUUAUCCCACACUUGGCACAAAUUCUGAAGUCUUUAUACUGUUUGGUACAAAAGAGCAUCGGGUGGGACUGAGAUGAGACAUGUGCAUCUGCCUUUACUACAGCAAACUGGGCAUUCAAGUCCGUGCAUUCAAGUCCAUCAAGGCCCUGUGAGCUGGAUGUCCAUGCAACUGAAGAUGGUUAUGGCUGGAGUCUCUGGCAACAGCUUGAAAGAACUUGACAACCUAUUGGAUUCUGGCCACAACUGGAAAGGAGCAGAGGAGUUUGGUUUGAAACCCAGGUGAACUUCAAAAUUGACCCCAAACAUGGAGGGGAAGGAGGGACAAAAGGGACAGAGCACUCAGAUUGUUGUAGGUUCACUUAUGACACCUGAGGUACAGCUCCUAAGUGAAAUGAUGAAGAAUGUCAGAGUUUUAGGUCCUCCCUCCCAUCUUCAUCGAUUAAAAUUGAUUUCAUUUUUGAAUAUCCAUAUUAAAAAGUUUCUAAAGGAUAAAGCUAUGUGACAACUAUAUGAAACUAUGUUAAAAAUAUAUGAUAGAA